CAGAUUAUAAUUUAAUAUAAAAUACUAGCUUUGGGAGCUAGCAUUCGGAAUAUCCGUAAUCUGA
rnacentral:tRNA from 1 species